UGGUCGGUAGAGUCAGACGCCGGUCAGGUGGGCCCGAUGGUGAGUCGGCGUGAGAGGGACCGGUCGAUAUAUCCCAACACUCUCUAUUCUAUGUUCUCUUUUAUUCAAUUGAUCAGAGAUAAAGCAGUGAAGAUUAAGCAGCAGAGAACUGUAGCAUCAAUAAUAGAGGCAGCAAUGAUGAUCCAAUUAACAAGAAGAGAGAGGACAACCAAAACGGUGGCAAGAAAACAACAUUUGGAUCAAGGA
rnacentral:lncRNA from 1 species